rnacentral:rRNA from 1 species
ACGGAAGGCAGCAGUGGGGAAUAUUGGACAAUGGGGGAAACCCUGAUGCAGCAACGCCGCGUGAAGGAAGACGGUCUUCGGAUUGUAAACUUUUGUUCUUAGUGAAGAUAAUGACGGUAGCUAAGGAGAAAGCCACGGCUAACUACGUGCCAGCAGCCGCGGUAAUACGUAGGUGGCAAGCGUUGUCCGGAAUUACUGGGUGUAAAGGGAGCGCAGGCGGGAAAUCAAGUUGGAUGUGAAGUGUCGGGGCUUAACCCCGGAACUGCAUCCAAAACUGAUUUUCUUGAGUGAAGUAGAGGUAGGCGGAAUUCCGAGUGUAGCGGUGAAAUGCGUAGAUAUUCGGAGGAACACCAGUGGCGAAGGCGGCCUACUGGGCUUUAACUGACACUGAGGCUCGAAAGUGUGGGGAGCAAACAGGAUUAGAUACCCUGGUA